rnacentral:rRNA from 1 species
UUAAGCGACUAAGCGUACACGGUGGAUGCCCUGGCAGUCAGAGGCGAUGAAGGACGUGCUAAUCUGCGAAAAGCGCCGGCGAGGUGAUAUGAACCCUUGACCCGGCGAUGUCCGAAUGGGGAAACCCAGUGCAAUCCGUUGCACUAUCGUUAACUGAAUACAUAGGUUAACGAGGCGAACCGGGGGAACUGAAACAUCUAAGUACCCCGAGGAAAAGAAAUCAACCGAGAUUCCCCCAGUAGCGGCGAGCGAACGGGGAGCAGCCCGGAGUCUGAAUCAGCUUGUGUGUUAGUGGAACGGUCUGGAAAGUCCGACGGUACAGGGUGAUAGUCCCGUACACGAAAGCACACUUGCUGUGAACUCGAAGAGUAGGGCGGGACACGUGGUAUCCUGUCUGAAUAUGGGGGGACCAUCCUCCAAGGCUAAAUACUCCUGACUGACCGAUAGUGAACCAGUACCGUGAGGGAAAGGCGAAAAGAACCCCGGCGAGGGGAGUGAAAAAGAACCUGAAACCGUGUACGUACAAGCAGUGGGAGCCUCUUUAUGGGGUGACUGCGUACCUUUUGUAUAAUGGGUCAGCGACUUAUAUUCUGUAGCAAGGUUAACCGUAUAGGGGAGCCGAAGGGAAACCGAGUCUUAACUGGGCGUUAAGUUGCAGGGUAUAGACCCGAAACCCGGUGAUCUAGCCAUGGGCAGGUUGAAGGUUGGGUAACACUAACUGGAGGACCGAACCGACUAAUGUUGAAAAAUUAGCGGAUGACCUGUGGCUGGGGGUGAAAGGCCAAUCAAACCGGGAGAUAGCUGGUUCUCCCCGAAAGCUAUUUAGGUAGCGCCUCGUGAACUCAUCUUCGGGGGUAGAGCACUGUUUCGGCUAGGGGGCCAUCCCGGCUUACCAACCCGAUGCAAACUACGAAUACCGAAGAAUGUUAUCACGGGAGACACACGGCGGGUGCUAACGUCCGUCGUGAAGAGGGAAACAACCCAGACCGCCAGCUAAGGUCCCAAAGUCAUGGUUAAGUGGGAAACGAUGUGGGAAGGCACAGACAGCCAGGAUGUUGGCUUAGAAGCAGCCAUCAUUUAAAGAAAGCGUAAUAGCUCACUGGUCGAGUCGGCCUGCGCGGAAGAUGUAACGGGGCUAAACCAUGCACCGAAGCUGCGGCAGCGACGCUUAUGCGUUGUUGGGUAGGGGAGCGUUCUGUAAGCCGUUGAAGGUGUGCUGUGAGGCAUGCUGGAGGUAUCAGAAGUGCGAAUGCUGACAUAAGUAACGAUAAAGCGGGUGAAAAGCCCGCUCGCCGGAAGACCAAGGGUUCCUGUCCAACGUUAAUCGGGGCAGGGUGAGUCGACCCCUAAGGCGAGGCCGAAAGGCGUAGUCGAUGGGAAACAGGUUAAUAUUCCUGUACUUGGUGUUACUGCGAAGGGGGGACGGAGAAGGCUAUGUCAGCCGGGCGACGGUUGUCCCGGUUUAAGCAUGUAGGCGGAGGUUCCAGGUAAAUCCGGUACCUUAUUAACGCUGAGGUGUGAUGACGAGGCACUACGGUGCUGAAGUGAUAAAUGCCCUGCUUCCAGGAAAAGCCUCUAAGCAUCAGGUAACACGAAAUCGUACCCCAAACCGACACAGGUGGUCAGGUAGAGAAUACCAAGGCGCUUGAGAGAACUCGGGUGAAGGAACUAGGCAAAAUGGUGCCGUAACUUCGGGAGAAGGCACGCUGAUGUGUAGGUGAAGCCCCUGCGGGUGGAGCUGAAAUCAGUCGAAGAUACCAGCUGGCUGCAACUGUUUAUUAAAAACACAGCACUGUGCAAACACGAAAGUGGACGUAUACGGUGUGACGCCUGCCCGGUGCCGGAAGGUUAAUUGAUGGGGUUAGCGGCAACGCGAAGCUCUUGAUCGAAGCCCCGGUAAACGGCGGCCGUAACUAUAACGGUCCUAAGGUAGCGAAAUUCCUUGUCGGGUAAGUUCCGACCUGCACGAAUGGCGUAAUGAUGGCCAGGCUGUCUCCACCCGAGACUCAGUGAAAUUGAACUCGCUGUGAAGAUGCAGUGUACCCGCGGCAAGACGGAAAGACCCCGUGAACCUUUACUAUAGCUUGACACUGAACACUGGUCCUUGAUGUGUAGGAUAGGUGGGAGGCUUUGAAGCGUGGACGCCAGUCUGCGUGGAGCCNGACCCGUAAUCCGGGUUGCGGACAGUGUCUGGUGGGUAGUUUGACUGGGGCGGUCUCCUCCCAAAGAGUAACGGAGGAGCACGAAGGUUGGCUAAUCCUGGUCGGACAUCAGGAGGUUAGUGCAAUGGCAUAAGCCAGCUUGACUGCGAGCGUGACGGCGCGAGCAGGUGCGAAAGCAGGUCAUAGUGAUCCGGUGGUUCUGAAUGGAAGGGCCAUCGCUCAACGGAUAAAAGGUACUCCGGGGAUAACAGGCUGAUACCGCCCAAGAGUUCAUAUCGACGGCGGUGUUUGGCACCUCGAUGUCGGCUCAUCACAUCCUGGGGCUGAAGUAGGUCCCAAGGGUAUGGCUGUUCGCCAUUUAAAGUGGUACGCGAGCUGGGUUUAGAACGUCGUGAGACAGUUCGGUCCCUAUCUGCCGUGGGCGCUGGAGAAUUGAGGGGGGCUGCUCCUAGUACGAGAGGACCGGAGUGGACGCAUCACUGGUGUUCGGGUUGUCAUGCCAAUGGCACUGCCCGGUAGCUAAAUGCGGAAGAGAUAAGUGCUGAAAGCAUCUAAGCACGAAACUUGCCCCGAGAUGAGUUCUCCCUGAGACUUUAAGUCUCCUGAAGGAACGUUGAAGACGACGACGUUGAUAGGUCGGGUGUGUAAGCGCAGCGAUGCGUUGAGCUAACCGAUACUAAUGAACCGUGAGGCUUAACCUU